rnacentral:rRNA from 1 species
GACGAACGCUGGCGGCGUGCUUAACACAUGCAAGUCGAGCGGUAAGGCCCUUUCGGGGGUACACGAGCGGCGAACGGGUGAGUAACACGUGGGUGACCUGCCCUCAGCUCUGGGAUAAGCCUGGGAAACCGGGUCUAAUACCGGAUAUGACUCCAUGACGCAUGUUGUGGGGUGGAAAGCCUUGUGCGGCUGAGGAUGGGCCCGCGGCCUAUCAGCUUGUUGGUGGGGUGAUGGCCUACCAAGGCGACGACGGGUAGCCGGCCUGAGAGGGCGACCGGCCACACUGGGACUGAGACACGGCCCAGACUCCUACGGGAGGCAGCAGUGGGGAAUCUUGCGCAAUGGGCGAAAGCCUGACCCAGCAACGCCGCGUGAGGGAGGAAAUCCUUCGGGAUGUAAACCUCACAAGCAAGGGAAGAGAGCUCAGGGCCGAAUAAGCUUUGAGUCCGACGGUACCUUGCGUAAGCCACGGCUAACUACGUGCCAGCGCCGCCGUAAC